rnacentral:misc_RNA from 1 species
AAGUCGUAACAAGGUUUCCGUAGGUGAACCUGCGGAAGGAUCAUUAACACGUGUUUACACGUAAUCAAACGAACUGUGAAUGUGUUGCCUAAGCCGCUAUGUUGGGUUGGAUCUGAGUGUUGGUCGGUGUGCGCAGAGCAGUUGUGUUCGCGUCCCGGCCGGGAGCUCUCGGUUCGAAAGGAUCGGGGACGAUCGACAUUAGCGUUGGGCACGACCUGGAGCACUCGGGUCGGAACCAGGUUGCGACUCGUGGUGUAGCGGGCCUUCUGGAUGUGAAAGUUCAGUCGGAGUCCGGCGCCCCGAGGUGGAACUGCAGCCAAACGAUUUUUUUACCAAAAACUCGAACUAAUAACUGGGCUUCUUCGGAAGUCUUUUAUGAAAUUCGAACAACUCUUAGCAGUGGAUAUCUCGGCUCUC